rnacentral:rRNA from 1 species
UAGCGAAGGGGGCUAGCGUUGCUCGGAAUCACUGGGCGUAAAGCGCACGUAGGCGGAUCUUUAAGUCAGGGGUGAAAUCCUGGAGCUCAACUCCAGAACUGCCUUUGAUACUGGGGAUCUCGAGUCCGGAAGAGGUGAGUGGAAACUCCGAGUGUAGAGGUGAAAUUCGUAGAUAUUCGGAAGAACACCAGUGGCGAAGGCGGCUCACUGGUCCGGUACUGACGCUGAGGUGCGAAAGCGUGGGGAGCAAACAGG